UACGAAGGGGGCUAGCGUUACUCGGAUUGACUGGGCGUAAAGGGCGCGUAGGCGGUUUGGUCAGUCAGACGUGAAAUUCCUGGGCUCAACCUGGGGGCUGCGUUUGAUACGUGCAGACUUGAGUUCGGAAGAGGGUCGUGGAAUUCCCAGUGUAGAGGUGAAAUUCGUAGAUAUUGGGAAGAACACCGGUGGCGAAGGCGGCGACCUGGUCCGAUACUGACGCUGAGGCGCGAAAGCGUGGGGAGCAAACAGG
rnacentral:rRNA from 1 species